CCCGUGACCCCUCCUCCCUCCAAAUAUAACCCCCCCCCCACGAUCGACGAGCACAUGGACUCAAACAUCAAACUGAACAGAAGCCUGUCGUUCAGGAUCCCGUGUCAACAAGGAGCGAAUGAAAUGAGAGAUUAAACAAAGAGAUUCUUCUGGUUUUAAAGAGUUCAGCUUCCUGACUGUUUGGAUGAAUGAGUCGCUGUGAGAUUUUUAAACCUGAAAGAAGAAGAAGAAGACUGAUGUGUCCUCUUUGAAUCUUUGAAUGCACUUAAAAGACAUUUUUGAAGUUUUUAAUCCCAAAUGAUCCCUGAAGAUUAAAGUCGACCACGUCUCCGUUCUGUUUCGCCUCAAUCUACCAAAAACCCUCAGCAGCCUGGAAGGUGAACUACAUUGCCCAGAAGGCUCUGCUUGAGGUGUGGAUUUUUAACCUCUUCCCUCUGCUGGGGAUGUCUGGGGCUGCAGGUUUUAUUAAAUCACAGAAGUGGUUCAUGAGGGUCCUGGAGAAAACUCACUCAACCCUUUGUAUUGUAGCAGGAUCGACACCAGACCAGAAAUUUACACUUCAAACUGAUUCUAGUCAAAAUCAAACCAUAUUAAAGGUCACUUAUCCUCCUCCUCCUCUUCUUCAGUGUAAAUAAGUCUCAGAGCUCCUCAAAACAUGUGUGUGAAGUUUCUUGUUCUAAAUCCACUCUGAUCCUGUAUUUGAUCAUGUCUAUAAACCCCUCUAUUUCAGCCCUGCUCAGAACAGGCUGUUUCUGUGUCUGUACCUUUAAAUAUGUAAAUGAGCUGUGUCUGACCACGCCCCCUCUCUGGAAGGGCUCGGUGUACUCUGUGCUUUCUCGCUCCAUGUCCUAUUGUUUACGGUGAGAAGGCAGACUCAGAGGACAGAACAAACACCUAGCUGUGGGAGUGUCACCCACCCGGGGGAGGGGCUACUGCCCUUUGUGAUGUCAUGAAGGGAAAAUCGCCAAACGGCCUGUUUGAGCACACAUUUUCUGAAAAGUGGAGCAGGCAGAACACGGAGAGGAUGGACUUUUGUGACCUUUAAUACCGGUUUGAUACCACAGCAACAGAAAUAGAAUAUACUUGAUAGUUUCUUGUUUUUGACGACACAUGUCGCAGGCUAACGUCUGCACACCGUCUAAAUCGUACAAAAACAUUGCCAACGCUCCAAACAACAGCAACUUGUUUGUGCAAUUAAGACGAUGGUCUCUGUUAAAAAUAUGACUGAAGAUCUGUUCCUUUUUUAAUCCUCUGUCUGAUGUCUGAAUCACUCCGUGUUUGUGUUCUCAGAGUUUUAAACUUUUUCUUCAGUCUCAUUUCAAAAACACAAAAAGAUUCAGUCUCAUUAAAGCGUUCUCCCAGAGGAACAACCCGAGGACAUUCUGUGUUUUCAGGUCUUUUUGUCUGAACUAAAUCUUUUAGGUUUUUUGUGUUUGGGUCAGAGGUCAACGAUAGAACUCUGAGAACAGUUUGUACAGAUCUUUAUUGACACGGGGUCAGACAGACAGAAGGUGAGUCCCCCUCUGUGAGGUUUCUGCAGGACUCUGUCGGGAUGUUUUUAGAUGUAAAAAGUUUGAUUUUAUAAAGAGUGUCUGACGGGGAACCAGAAGGCGGACUGUUGAAGUUCCUGCUUAGCUUAGACUGAAUGUUGAAAUGAAUCCAGCGAUUAGACGGAGCCCAUGUGAACUGAACCCAAUGAAAGAGACUCUCUGUUUUUAUCCUGUUCACAGUGGUGCGGUCUGUCUCCGUCUCUAUAGAGGACUGUUGGACACAGUGUUUUGAUAGUGAAAAAAGAACAUAUUAUUAUUAUUAAUAUUAUUAUAAUUGUUAUUAUUGCUGAGUGUAUCUGAUGCUAUAUGAACAGACGGAUUGUUGUUGGAUAUUUUCCGUGUUCCCGAUCGCGGUCGUGUUUGAUGUUUGCUUGAUGCAAGAAGAAAAAAAAAUAAGAGAAAUGUUUUUGUAAAUAUAAUUUAUUCUGCUGUGACACCCCCCUCGGUCAUGUGACCAUGUAAAGGUCAGAGGUCAACCAUGUCACACCACACAGCCGGAGCCAAUCAGACAGCCUGGUUUUCAGUGGCGGCCAUCUUGGCUCCUACAGUUUUAGCUUCACAUUAACACACAGGGUCGGCACAACGUUUGAAACAUCGAUAUUAUUCCAGUUAAAAAAAAGUUAACAACCUCGAUACUUGUUACCACGGCAACAAGAAUAGAAGCCCUACACACCCAGUGUUGGGUACAUUUUUGUAAUCAAACGUCACAAAUUGCAGAGCGACACUUUCACGCUGUCCUAAUUUCACAAAAAACAUUGUUUGUAAAAGAGGGCGGAGCCUGAGAGGAGCGCCACAUUUCACCCUCGUCUCUAAACUUUGACAACGUUUUUGUGCAAACUAGACAACGUGAAAGUGUUUCUCUCCAUUCUAGAUGGAUUCACUCCUCUCCUACACACCUCUCUUAUGAUAUAGAUGUAGUUUUUUUAACGCUUCCGUACUUUUUGAUACUAUCGACCAUUAAAACAACAGAGAUUGUGUCAUUUAAAAACACGUGGUGUCAAACAAAGUUUACUAUUGAAGGGAAGAUUAAAGGAACAAUCUGACAUUUUAGUGAAUCCUCCUGUUCUCUGGGUUCUCCACAGUCAGGAAUCAGGUGUGUGUGCAGGUAUAGGCUCAUCUAAAAACAAGCUAACACCGCACAAUGCUGACUUUUAGCUGAAAGGCUAAAGCUAAUAGCGUUUAGCUAGUACCUGAGGUUAGCCUUUUAAAAACCAUUAUUUAAGUUUAACUGUUUGUUAGCCUCAAGUGAAAUGAUGGGGGGAUAGUUUGGAGUUGUUUCUCUUUUAACGGAGCUAAAGGCUAGCCGUUUGCUCCAGUGUUUGUGCUAAGCUAGGCUAAAGCUGUACCGUGCACACAGAAGCUAAUGUGAAACAUCUGGCUCGGAGUUACAACAUGUUGUAAGAGCUUGACUUGUCAAAAUGUUGACGUGUUUCUUAAUUCUUUCUCAGCUGUCACACGGUGCUCAGUGUGUGCGUGGCUCUGCUGACUCAGCGUGUUUUUCAGGGUGCUUUUGGCGUGUGAUGCAGACUGGAAAUGGCCAGUAAAUUAGCCUUACAGCUCAACGUCUUCAUCAGCCGUCGCCAUGUUCAGAAAUACUUUUUUUAACUUUCAAUCCAAAGCUGUUUUUACAUCUGCACUCCUGAAAAUAUCAAGAUAAUUUCAGGAGCACUCCCGCUGAAAUCCUCCUGAUGUGGUUGUUCACACAUGAACCUCACAGCGGGAGAUGAUCUGUCGGGGGGGGGGGGGGGUGUCUCCUGAGGCGAGACGUGACAUAUGGAAGAAGCAUCAGAGUCCUCUAUACGACUCCACAAUGAGAAUAUGUGUCUUUGUAUCAACGCUUCAUGUAGUUGAAGAGAAUCUCAAUGUGAACUAAAGAGAGGAGAAGAACAAACUGGAGAACAGGAAACAUGCAGCAGCAGGUUGAUUAGAGCACGGAGAUGGUAGAGGUGGCGUGCAGACAGUCUAUGGUUGUGCAGCGAUCACAGGGAAUAAAGGUCACCACCCCCUCCCACUGGCCCCUCCCACUGGCUCCAGGUGAAUUCUCCUGAUUAUAUCCUGCUGUGUUCUCACAUCAGAUCACUCUGACUUUCUGCAGAAUAAAUACGAGGAGGCUGAAGAGAGAAACAUCCAGAUGUUUGUGUGAUCACAUGACGCUCAGACUGAAAACACUUCAGGAGUUUUGAGUGUUGAUUUUUUCUACAUGUUUUCUUCAGAGAUGAUUUCUGACCGGUUCUGACUGGUGUUUGUGUGUGCGUGAUAUUGAACAGUUAGUGUGUUGUAUCGGUCCAGUGUGCACAGAUUCAGACUAACAUACAGCGUUGAGCACACCGAGCUGUGGUUCAUGUAUCAGACCUACAUUUUGUGUUUCAGUAUUUCUGGUUGUAACUUCAGGUUGGACACCAUAUGUCAGUUUAUAUUUACGGGAAACACAGACUGAGAUAUUAUAGAUUAUAUACAGGGGCGUGUCCAGACUUUUUAGACUGGGGGGGGGCCCAACUGGGGCUCCGACCAGUGCUGGGGUGGCCUUAAGUUUGAGUGCACACACAUGAAUAAAGAGCAUUUAUUAACCCCUUCUGUCUGCACCAAUCACAUCAACUUUGAAGUAACGCAAGAUAACAGCGACAUAUACAUCUUCUUAGCUUCAUCCUUCAAGGACUUAAACAAAUCUACGUCCAAAGACACAAUUUAAAACAAACAUCUGCGCACUGAAAACUAUGAGCUGCAUGUUGCAACAGCCUGAAUGGAGGAUUUCAACAUAAGUCCAACAUCUGGCAGUUUGAAGGUGAGCCCAUGUCACCUCUGGCCACCCUUCUGGAAACGACCCUGAUUAUAUCAAUGUUUUUCUGGGAUGUGCUAAUGCUAGUUCAUUUUGCAAGCGUAACCCAACAUGCUAACUGUUGUUGAUUUGCUAGCUUGUGCAUCUUAAAUGUUCAGUCAGGUUUGAGGUUAGAAUUGAUCUAAUCUGAUCUGAUGCUGGUGUGGGUUCAACGUUAAUCUUUAUUUUUUAUUUUUUUACACCACACUGCUUUAAUCAGAUCUGUGUGUGGGCGUGUCCACACCUCGUCUUCCUCGUCUUUUCACAGUGAAGUCGUGUCGGUGGUUUGUAGUGCCGUGGGUUAAACGUUCAUGAAGUAACUUAACCUGCCCGUCUCUGGUUAUAACCAGGCAUCUCGAGUUAGACAGCUGUAGUCACUAGGAAACAUUUAGAGCCAGUUUGGACCAGUUGGAAACCAGUUCUGGAGAGUUGUGAAACCACCACAGCUGGUCAGAACUGGUUUAAACCGGUUCAGUCCGUCUGUGUACAUUCAGUAUUUUGCCUUACAGUUUCUGAUUAUUGAACUGUUUCUUGUGCCAAACCAGACGAUCGAUGGCUGUGAUGAUAUAUUCUGUUUUUUGUUUUUUUUUACUUCCUGUUCUGAUUGAUCUCUGUGACACCUGCUUCACCUUUUUUAAACUGUGUCGGUCUCCGAUUGGUCCUCACCCCGUCGGGAGGCUUGACUGACUGAGUGUUAUGGCUGCUGUUACCAUGGAUACCCAAGUUGUUGUAUAACCACACAGACUCUGAUUGACGCUGCCGAUACCUGCGUGAAAAACACAAAAAACAAACCCGAGGACUGUAAACAAUUCAACCAAUCAGAGGAGGACUGGGCUGUGAUGUCAUUUAGUUGAGUGAGUGAUGUCAUUUUUUGAACACCAAGUUACCUCUCUCGAGUGUAACCUUGGCAACCAGUGCUCCCCAGUUGCCAUGACAACAAGCUCCUCCAUCUUCUCUCUCUCUCUCUGUGUGUAACAGCAGCAUGGCCGUGUAUUCUUCUUCUUCCUGUCGUACUUCUUGUUAUUAUUGAUUAUUGAGUAUUGAUCGAGUGCAGGUGAUUGGUUAGUGGCCGGCCACUGCCUCCCAUCCUGUCUGUUACCCAUCAUGCCCCUCUGUAAGAAAAUACAGUGAGAAAUGUUUAUGAGGUCAGUGAUGAAAUAAAAACAUCCAAACUGAUCAAA